AGGAGCAAAGGGAAAACAAAGGCGGAAGAGAAACAACACAAGCCAGCCGGUGAGAUUUGAUUAUGAACUGAGGAGGAAUGAGGGUUUAAUCCGCAUAUCCGUCAUCUAUGGUACGUAAAUCAUUCUGGGUUUAUUAAUUAGAGCUCAAUUCAGCUUCAAGACCACUAAAUCAUUCUGGGUUUAUUAAUUAGAGCUCAAUUCAGCUUCAAGACCACUAAAUCAUUCUGUUUCUCAUGAACGUAAAUGAUUGUCAUGUCUGCAAAUGAGUGUCAUUAAUAGAUUUAAGGUUUGGUUUGCGCCGUGGAUUCCAUGUUAGUCUCGAGAAUUUUGAUAUUGUAUUAGAAUCUUUAGCUACCCGUCGGCAAUGGCAUCCAUACCGUCGAAAAACGUAUGGAUUCGACGGCAGCAAUGCCCUUGUGGGGAUUGGAAAUGUUAUGUUUCAUAUGAAGGAGAAGGCGAAGAAACUUCUGUCGCAGCCGAGUUAGCUAAGUCCGAAAGGGUGUCAUCUGAAGCUAUGGUUUCCCCUUAUGUGGGAAUGGUGUUUAAGAAUGACACUGAUGCGUUUGAGUAUUAUGGGAAUUUCGCUAGGAGAAAUGGGUUUUCGAUUAGGAAAGAGCGAUCUAGACUUAGCCCGCAAUUGGGUGUUUAUAAACGAGAUUUUGUAUGUUAUCGUUCGGGAUUUGCACCUGCAAAGAAGAAACCCAUUGGGGAGAAUCAUAGAGAUAGGAAAUCGGUGCGUUGUGGGUGUGAUGCUAAGAUGUAUUUGUCAAAGGAAGUCAGUGAAGGAGUUUCUCAAUGGUUUGUAGUGCAAUUCAGCAAUGUACAUAACCAUGAACUUCUUGAAGAUGACCAAGUUCGCCUCCUUCCUGCGUAUCGAAAAAUUCACGAGGCCGACCAAGAACGCAUACUUCUGCUUUCAAAAGCUGGGUUUCCCAUUCAUCGGAUAGUGAAGGUAUUGGAAUUGGAAAAGGGCAUUCAUGGAGGUCAAUUGCCUUUUUUGGAGAGAGAUGUUAGAAACUUCGUUCAAAAUCGUAAGAAGAUCGUUCAAGAACACGAUGCACUGCUAAACGAAAAACGGGAAAUUGAUACAAUAGAGCUUCUAGAGGCUUGCAAAGCCACGAAAGAAUCAGAUGAAGAGUUUGUUUAUGACUUCACAGUUGAUGCAAAUGAUAAGGUUGAACAUGUUGCUUGGUCAUAUGGGGACUCUGUUAAUGCUUAUGACAUGUUUGGGGAUGUUGUCUAUUUUGACACUACUUAUUCAUCAAUCACAUAUGGGUUACUAUUGGGAGUGUGGCUUGGCAUUGAUAACCAUGGUAGGACUAUUUUCUUUGGUUGUGUUUUGUUGCAAGAUGAAACGCCUCGUUCGUUGGCUUGGGCUUUUCAGACCUUUAUUCGUUUCAUGAGAGGCACAUUCCCGCAGACAAUUUUGACUGAUCUUGAUCCAGGGCUUAGAGAUGCAAUAAGAAGUGAAUUACCUGGCACAAAGCACGUAAUUUCGAGAUGGAAUAUUUUGUCGAAGGUAUCUAGUUGGUUUUCUCUUUAUCUCGGACCUCGUUAUGCAGAGUUCAAAUCCGAAUUCGAUUUGCUGUAUUCUGUGGAGAGUUCAGAGGAUUUUGAAAUUCGAUGGGAUCAAAUGGUAUCAACGUUUGGUCUCGUUUCAGACAAGCACCUCGAUUUACUAUUUUCAUUUCGGGAAUACUGGGUACCAUCUUACAUAAGAGGUUGUCUUUUAGCUCAAAUGGCAACAUCAGCCUAUUUCAAGGCUGUCGAUACGUUCUUGAAAGGAGUUUUUAGUGCACAGACGUGUUUGCGUAGCUUUUUCGAGCAGGUUGGUAUUUCAGCCAACUUCCAAAACCAUGAGCAUCAGGAGAUGCAAUAUUUGCAAUUAAAGACGAAUAUACCGAUCGAAGAACAUGCACGAAGCAUCCUCACCCCUUUUGCCUUCAAUGCUUUACAGCAUGAAUUAGUGUUGGCCAUGCAGUAUGCUGCAUCUGAAAUGGCGGAUGGAUCAUAUCUCAUACACCACUUCAAGAAGAUGGAUGGAGAGCGUCUUGUGAUGUGGAUUGAAGACAGCGAACAGAUUCACUGCUCUUGUAAGGAGUUUGAAUCCUCAGGCAUGCUAUGCAGACAUGCUUUGCGCAUAUUCAUUAUAAAGAAUUACUUUCAGCUUCCUGAUAAAUACUAUUUAAGUAGAUGGAGGCGGGAAAGCUCUCUAGCCUUAAGCGAUGGUCACGGUAUCGAGAGUAACGAUGGGCAUUGGUUUCAUGAAUAUCAGCGCCUUACCGAGACUCUUUUUGCCGAAUCUUCCAUUACCAAGGAACGUAGUGAGCAUGUCCGUAGGGAACUGAUGAAAGAGAUCACAAGACUUCUUAACGAGAUUAGGAGAAUGCCCGAGAGUGACGGGGUUGCAGCUAUGGAUUUGACAGAAUCGCCAAAUGGUUAAUGCUUCUGCUAAGGGAUUGCUAUGGAUUCGACAUUCUCCCGAACUGAUUGUUCUUUAUCUGACUUCCUUUCAUAGCUGUCUGCAAUGGAGACAGACGAAGGACGUCGAAUUCCCACAAUGUAAUAUUAAGGAAGGAAGAGAACUGCAUGCUUGGAAUGGUAAUGGUUGUACAGGCUUUUGACUCAAUAAGAAUGCACCUGGCUCGUGGCUAGAAUAUCUAAGAGAUGUAAAGUUAUCGAUCGAGGCAGUCCAAAGCUGAAUGUUAUCAAAAGCAUCUGGAAAAUUCGAAAACGUAUGGAGAUCAUAUUCUAUUAAACAGAUACAGAUUAUGUUUUAAACAGAUACCCACAUCGUUUGUUCGUUCGUUCGUCCCGAGUAUUAAUACUGAUCAGGCCAUAGAAAUGCACCCAUUGCAAAGGCCCUCUUCUCCUCCAAACUGCCUUGAAAGCUCAAGCCAUAUUCCUUGAGAAGCUGAUCCACCUUCCACUCUUCCAUCUUCUGGUAAUCUGCCUUGGUGUAGUGAGGGUAAUGAAGAGGCAUUUGAAACCCAGAAGAAGUGCAUAUUUCUUCACAACCCUUUUCCCCUUUUGAGCUCCUCUCUUCACCGUAGCCAUGGACCUCAUGAUUCGGGUUCCCGAGAAGACAAGCUGCUGAAUAAAGUAGCCAUCCUAAAGCCAUGGCUAUGGAUCUCUUUCAAAGGAAGACGAUUUGAAGUUGAGGCAAGAGGCUGUGAAAGGAAAGCAACCAUAUUUAUAGGAUGGGAAUGGCUGAUGAUUUCGUGAAGUAGUUUUGAAUUGGAGAUGGAGGGUGAUGAUUGAGAAGGGAGUUGCGUACUGAGAUGCAAAGUGCCACGUCAUUGCUGAAUAAUGGGAAGUGGGGCCUGUUGUUGAAGAUUGUUAAGAAAUUAAG